AGUGAAAGGCCACUCCGAGAUGCAAAAGUGCAUUGGAACCCUCGACUAUUUGAUAAGUUGAGUUGGGGUAUGAAUUGGAAUUGAAGUGAGAUAGUUUCGAGGAUGAAACUCUGUUAAGGAGGGGAGGAUGUAAGGUACCGGACUUCUAAAAUCAUGAAGUUACAGUGUACAUUUGGUUUGAAAGCCAUUUGAAUGGUUCCGAUGAGGUUGCGGUGGAGAAUGUAACAUACCAGAUUUUAGUAUAAAAAUAAAAAUAAAUAAAAAUAGUGUGAGAUACUAUUUUUAUUGGAUUUAGAGGAGUAAAACAUAAGUCAGAAGUGACUUGUGCUGAAUUCGGAAUGAAAAAAGAAGAUCUAGAAUUUUCUGUUGGAAACGGGACAGAUAAAUUAGCAGAAAAUGCACAGUGUCAGAAAAUUAUGAAAACUGGAGGAUAAGUCAGAAUUAUUUUUAUGAGGCUAGAUUUAAAGUUUCAUGUCAUUCUGACACCCGGAAGGUGGAAAAUAAAAUCCGACAGUUAUCUGAUUAAGAUUACAAUUCGGCAAGAUCAAACGGGGUCGAAACUGAGAACUUAAGACAUAUUCUUACUCAGUAUGUUAAACCGAGCCUGCCUGUCAAAUUUUAGCGCAAACGGACGUUCAGAAGGGCUCCAACGACUCCGAACUGCUAAACUGCUGCCCGAGGUG
rnacentral:lncRNA from 1 species